UGUAAGUAACUUUCCGCGUAUGAAGUCCUCAGUCGUUUUGUUUUGCUUUAAAGUAAUUCUGUAAGUGUGUAUUGAUGUAGUAGUGUUCACUCGCUCUCCUCUCUGCGGCAGAAUGACAGUCUCUGUUGUGUUUGUUUUGCUCGCGGUGUAUCUGCGCACCUCUCACCUGCUGCUCCUCCAGACACUUCUUCACAUCCACAGACUUUCAGAUCUGCUAGAAAGUUCUCCAGAUUUUCUUUAUUGUGACGCUGCUCUCUUGUGACACACUGGAAUAUGAACCAUCAGCAUCAGCAGCGCAGCAGAAUAAGGGAUGUCGAAAGCAGAGUUCUGGCACAUGUGGACAGACAUUUGCUUUAAUAACAGAAAUCUGGUCAUGGACAG